UCUCCUGGAAAACGGGUGGUAAUGCCGGAUGCUCCGGUUGGAUGCAUGUCCUUCCGGGAAAGAUUCUAUCGGUAUGGGAUGGGGUCGCGUCCUAUCAGCUUGAUGGCGGGGUAACGGCCCACCAUGGCUUCGACGGGUAGCCGGCCUGAGAGGGCGACCGGCCACAUUGGGACUGAGAUACGGCCCAGACUCCUACGGGAGGCAGCAGUGGGGAAUAUUGCACAAUGGGCGCAAGCCUGAUGCAGCGACGCCGCGUGCGGGAUGGAGGCCUUCGGGUUGUAAACCGCUUUUGAUCGGGAGCAAGCCCUUCGGGGUGAGUGUACCUUUCGAAUAAGCACCGGCUAACUACGUGCCAGCAGCCGCGGUAAUACGUAGGGUGCAAGCGUUAUCCGGAAUUAUUGGGCGUAAAGGGCUCGUAGGCGGUUCGUCGCGUCCGGUGUGAAAGCCCAUCGCUUAACGGUGGGUCUGCGCCGGGUACGGGCGGGCUGGAGUGCGGUAGGGGAGACUGGAAUUCCCGGUGUAACGGUGGAAUGUGUAGAUAUCGGGAAGAACACCA
rnacentral:rRNA from 1 species